ensembl:misc_RNA Metazoa_SRP Metazoan signal recognition particle RNA
GCCAGGCAUGGUGGUGCAUGCCUGUAAUCCCAGCUAUUCGGGAGGCUGAGGCAGGAGAAUCGCUUGAACCCAGGAGGUGGAGGUUGCAGUGAGCUGAGAUCAUGCCACUGCACUCCAGCCUGGGUGACAGAGUGAGACUCUGUCUCAA